AGAGCGAACGCUAGCGGCAGGCUUAACACAUGCAAGUCGAACGCGUGCCUUCGGGCGCGAGUGGCGAACGGGUGAGUAACACGUGGGUCACGUACCCUGAGGUGGGGGAUAACCCGAGGAAACUCGGGCUAAUACCGCAUAUGGCUACGGCUAAAAGCCUUCGGGCGCCUUUGGAACGGCCCGCGGCCGAUUAUUUAAUCCUAGUUGGUGAGGUAACGGCUCACCAAGGGUACGAUCGGUAGCUGGUCUGAGAGGACGAUCAGCCACACUGGGACUGAGACACGGCCCAGACUCCUACGGGAGGCAGCAGUGGGGAAUAUUGGACAAUGGGCGAAAGCCUGAUCCAGCCAUGCCGCGUGGGUGAAGAAGGCCUUCGGUUGUAAAGCCCUGUCGGGAGGAAGAAAAAAUAGACGGUACCUCGCAAGAAAGCACCGGCUAACUCCGUGCCAGCAGCCGC
rnacentral:rRNA from 1 species